GCUCAAGUCAUAUCCACGGUUUUUGAGUUCUCUAUAUUCCUGACAAAGAGCACAAGUUUCACAACAAAAAUGAACUAAGCAAUCCAUACAAGGUGCCUCUGGCAAGUCAUAUUGUGCCCUCAGUUUGGACCGAUAAUAACAUGAAUAUAAACAUGCAAGUCCAGUCACAGCCAGUAGCGCCCCAUAAAUUGUUCCAUCACAUGUGCAAGCUGCAUAUACCAAAUUAAGUUAAGGGACCACAAGAUUAAUUUUUCCUAAAUUUUAUAUAAAAGCUUACUUACUUGAAUUGCCUUUGUCUACUAUCUCUGCUAUCAUUCCAAAAGUAACACAAGGGCAGAAGCAAGUGACCAAACCUUGUCAAUUAGAAGGAAAAAAAAGUAAUUAACCAUAAUAUAUAUGUGUUUUAAAGAAAGUGAAUGAAUCUACUACACGAUCCUUACAGAUUCCAGGAUCAUCAAGACAACGGCAAAGACGAGUUGACCAUUGGUGUGUCCUUGGGGUGAUCACCCCUUGAACUGGUGCUGAUAUAUUGAGGAUGAGGAGGAGCAUAAGGUUGUUGCACUGGCAUGCCAUAACUUGGCAUUUGUAUGACAUAGCUUUGAGGGGGGUAGUUAUGACUAUGAUCUGUUUCAUUUACGGAAGGAUACUGCAUAAUGUUAUUGGUGGAAUUAGUCCUUUAACCAACACACAAUUUUCUUUAUUAUCUUAGUGUCUAUGCAUAUAAAUGGGAGGAACUUAUAUAAGAGAGUAUUUCCACACUAAUGUAAUUUUGUAAACUACUAGGAAAAAACCAUUUUCUGUCUGAUUGGUUUAUAGAAUGGUCAGUAGUUGCAAGGAAAGGCAUACAUGAUACAUUUCAAAGUAAUAAGUGGUGGAAUAUCAACAUAAAUGAAUGGCAAAUUGCAUCUUUCAUUGCCAAGAAGUUUUUAUAUGGGAUUUGCUAGAACACAUCCACUAGUUUUUAUGUGGGAGUGUUUUAACAAGCUAUACCUUAAGGUGCAUUUAACUACUUUUUAGUUAUAACUUGCUAAAACACACUUUCUAAAAAUUAAGUGGGUGUAUUAUAGCAAAUGCCUGUAGGAGUUGCUAACAUACAUCCACUUAUUUUUUAGGUUAAUUGAAUUAAUAAUGAUCUAUGUGGUCCAUAUUAUGAACCAGAUACAUCAUUAAUUGAAAAAGUAAAAUUUGCUUAUAUUUAGAAACGGAGGGAGUAUUUAACAACUUUUUAGUUAUAUUUUUGCUAAAACACUCCCACAUAAAAAUUAGUGGGUGUAUCCUAGCAAACCCAUAUAUAUAUAUAUAUAUAUAUAUAUAUAUAUAUAUAUAACGAUACCGACACUCUUUAAGCAUUCUAAACUAAAUAAUUAUUUUCUAAAAAAAUCAAACAUUUCGAUCAAAUACAUUGAAUGUACACAUUUUCAAAAAUACUUACAACUUAUAAUUCUUAAAAAGUGUCUCAGAGACACUUAUCUGCAUUUCCCAUUUCGCAUGUAAUUAAUAUCAUUGCGUUUACCAUACAAUUUCUAACAGAAUCUGUUUAAGAUUACUGUAGGACCCACUUGCAUAUGGGUCUUUAGCACUUAUACUUUUUUUUUUGAAGGAAAGCACUUAUACUUCAAUAAUGCAUUUCUGAUUUCUCAAUUGUCAAUACUUCCAUUCAUAUGACAAUGAAGGUGUAUGAUAUGAACAUUGUUCUUUUUGGCUAGAUUGAACAUGUUACUGACUAUUUCAAACAUGUCACUACCGUGUUCUACUUCUAGCCAUGCUUGUGAAGAAAAACCAUCCAUGUUCUAGUUUGUGCGGACUGUGCUACGUAGUUUUCCUUAUUUUUGUUGCAAUAUUUUUAUUUAUGUUUUUUAUCCCUUGUAACUUCCUGUUUCGGUCUCUAAAUUUGAGAGUUUAUUGACAAUUUGUGAUGGUUUUGUUUAUGGUCCAGUGUCCCUCCUUUGGUGAGAUUUUCGUUUCUUCUUAGUCCUAGUGGUGGUUGUAUUGGAACUUUGGAAGUGUAUUUAAAGGGAACUUAGUUUGGUUUAGUGCUUCUGCUUAUUUUGAUUUAGUCCUUCCUGACUACAAUUUUUAAUUUAACAAGUGUAUUUUAAGCCAUAAAAUUUUCUUACUACAAGGAAUUGGUUCAUGUGAUCCUUUUAGAUGAUCAAUAUAUAUAAAGUAAUGACAUAUGUUUCAUUUAGUUAGAGAUAUGCUAAAUCACUUCUUUUUUAAUGGAGGGAUCUACUAACUACCAUUGGUUACGUUAGCCUUCUUCAAGGCCAAAAGAAGUUGUCUUGAACUUUAAAAUUUCUUGAUUUGUUUUGAGCUUCCUUGUAGUUGUCUUUUGGAGCUUCCUCGUUCAAUCUCCUUUAAUUUCCCACGAGCUUCCAGCAGUGAAAGUGAAUCACCAUUUGAUUUCACCACCACCCUCAUCGUCGUUUCGGCAUGGCCAUUGUUCCACCUUCUCUGUAAACGUCAUCGUCAUCAACAACGAAGUUGCUGCUUUUUUCACCGCCACCCUCGUCAUCGUUCCCGCAUGGCCAUCAUUGCACCUUCUCUCUUUGCCGGUAGUUUUAUUUUUUUUUAUUACCGUUUUUCUGUUUUUUUGGUAGACCAACGAUUCUUAUACAUAUCCUCUCUUUUGUUAUAACUAUUUACCGGUAAUGCAUAUUGAGACAGAUAAUGUUUGAAACGUACAAAAUAAUGAUUGAAACAUUCAAAAUCAAUAAAUAUUAUUAAUGAAAAUUUAUGGUUUUGUAAAAAAAAAAAAAAAAAUUAGGUUUGAGGUUUCCUCGGUAGUUAACUUCAGUUCCAUAAUUCGGCAGUUAACUGCCGAGUGACAUUUGGGUAAAUUACUCAUGUUUCUCAACCAAUGCAUAUGUGUCAACAACAAUUCUCUUUAUUUAUUUACUUUAUGUAUGUGAGGUGUCAAGUUUUGGCUGGUUAUGACCAAUUGCAAUUUCUUGGUCACUUAGCCUUAUAAGAAUUCUUGAACUCCUCUCCGGUUGGAUCUAGACAAAAAUGUUUGGAUGGACUGGCCAAAUAAACUAUAAUAUAUAUUAAGAAAAUUAUAUGUUCAUAAGCAUUACACACAAUGGUGACCAUCACAAAAUUAGAUUACAUAUUUUAAAAAUUCAAAAUAAUAUUCUAUGCAUUUCGAUUGACUUGAAAAUGUGAUGGUAAUGUAUAUUGAGACGGAGAAUAAGGUGAAUCAUAAAGUAAUUUUAUUUAAAAGUCAAGAAUAUUUUACUAAUUUUUCCUAUAAAAAAAUUAUUAUUUUUGGGCUGGUUGGGCCUUGGCCACCUAUGCUUGCUCGCCAUUUCAAUCGAAGAACAGGAAAGAAAACUUAAAAAAAAAAAACAUGCUCGCCAUUUUAUUUGAAGAACAGGCAGAAUGUUCAAAAAAAAUGUUAUGUUCGCCAACUAAAAUGAAGAACAGGGGCAUUUCUAUCAAUAAUUUUAAACUAGGGGCAGACAUAUCAAUUUUUUUGGUAAUAGGGGCAGAAAAAAAUUCAAAAUGGGACCAGGAUAUGCUGCCACACAGUUUCACAUAGUUUUGAUUUGUGACCAUUGUAAUUUUAUCAAACCAUCCAAUAGCUGAAAUAAAAACUGUGUUGUACUUUACAGCACCAAAUCCAUAUCCCACAAAAUGUACUAAUUAAUUGCAUAGAUACCAAAGAAAUAUCAUCUACGAAAAGCAACUUAACUUGUUGGAUUAUAGGCUGAUUUAAGACAAAAAUAUGAAGUACUGUAAAUUGGAACUGAAGUAGGUCUCUAAUUAAGUGACAAAGCUUAAUAUACUGGUGAUCAUAUCAGACAAACAUUUUCAAGCAUCAAACAGAAUAUAUACAAACCAAGAAGUUGAAACAAGAUCAACAAUUUCCGUGGCUUGUGAAAAGAGCUCCUAAAGAGGUUUCAUUUUUUUCUUUUUUUUAUCUUGUCAUAGGUGAAAUCAUUGGUGGUGCCACUGCAACUCCUGGCCUCUGUCUUUCCACGUUGGCAUCCCAACCUAUAUUUCAGACUCAAUUAGUUAUCAAAAACAAGUCAAGGGUCAAGCAAAAACACUAAACCAUAUGAUAUCACACAAAUUCACAAAAACUUUUAACCUUCAAUACCUAAAAAUAUAAGUUAGAAAUCCAACUCGAAAACUAGACAAAAAUUAAGAAAGCAGAGAUUCUUGAGUAACCUCACUGACCACUUUUAGCCGGGUCUCUGUUAAAUGUAGUUAGAGAUCUGUUAAAUCUUAGUUGAAGUUUGUUAAAGGUAGUUUCAAGCUGGUUAGGAUUAAGUGCAAGUUACUUAAGAUUUUUAUCCUAGUAAGGAUCGCUGUAUUAUAAUAGACUUUUCUAAUUGAAUCAAUUCUAAGCAUAAUUAAUCUUUCUCUCAAUUUAUUUUUCAAUUUGUUGGACUCUGGAGCAUAAGAGAGGGAGACGUCUCUCUUCAGCCCAAAAUCUUAAAACGUUACAUUUUAUUCAUUAAUAAAUGGUAUGAGAAAUAACCAUCCACACUUGAAUCCAAUGAUCUCUCCCUCAAGUGUUUUUAACGUCCUAUAAUAGGAUCCAAAACAGGAUCCAGCUCUUGCUCCCCUACCAAGUUGAACUAGGGAUCUGAUACCACUUGUUGGGGAGUCUGGGUAAGUCGGGAACAACAACAGGGCAAAAUGUUCCAAGGCCACAAGAGAGGGAGACACCAUAUCUCCACCCAAAACCUUAAUGUAUUAGGUAUACGGGUCACCUCUCUUAUAUAUAUCCAACAUUUUAUCCAUUGACAUGCGAUGUGAGACUUGACCAACUUACACUUGUACUCAACAUGAAGUCUCUCAUCCCAACCAUGUUUUCUCAUCUCAAACUCGAGACGUUGCUUAAGAGAUCCAAAUCUAAUUUAGUAUAUUGAAGUAUUUGAAGAAAGAAUUAGGUACCUAUGCUCAAGUCAUAUCCACGGUUUUUGAGCUCUCUAUAUUCCUGACAAAGAGCACAAGUUUCACAACAAAAAUGAACUAAGCAAUCCAUACAAGGUGCCUCUGGCAAGUCAUAUUGUGCCCUCAGUUUGGACCGAUAAUAACAUGAAUAUAAACAUGCAAGUCCAGUCACAGCCAGUAGCGCCCCAUAAAUUGUUCCAUCACAGGUGCAAGCUGCAU
rnacentral:lncRNA from 1 species